ACCCCCUCCAAAUUCUACUCAGACUUCACCACCCUGGCCCCUGGGGUACAAGCGUGGUUCAGGCUAAGCCAGAGUCCCUCGCUGAGAUGUUACCUCUAAAGCCAUCAGCCAGGAGAGGAAAAGUGGCUUCCAUUGGUUACAAGGUUGUAAGGGGAGAACUAGGAGUGCCCCAAGGCCAUAUUCUGGCCUUAGUGGGCAGCCAGCUUGAGAGAAAGAAAGAGAAAACCAUGCUGAAGAAAGCCAGGCAGGGACAGAUGGACAGAUAGAGUUUAAGUCGCUGGCCUGCCAGGGCUCCCCAGGGCCAGCUCUAGUGUGGCACUUUCCUCAGAGCAGUUACAUGAGACAAUAUAGUCCCUCCCUUUUCCUUUUAGCUAGGGUGGGUCCUGUCCCCACCUGUGUAGGCAGAGGAGCCCUGAGCAAUGAGCACACUGCACUUAUUCAGCGGCAGCUGAAGUGAUUCAGGAGGAUGGCCUUGAAGGUUGUGGAGGAGAGAGAGCAUCCAGGGCGAAGACGACGACGUGAAAGAAGGCUCUAGGGGCUGGGCAUUGUGACUCACGCCUGUAAUCCCAGCAGUUUGGGAGGCUGAGCAACUUACAGUAGAAACCCCUGCCUGAAAUGGACAACUUCUCUGACUGAUCUAUUUCUAGGACUUCUUUAGAAAUUCAUGGUUCUCUCAGUUAUAUUUCUGUGAAUCCACUUUUUUUUGGAACCAACAAGGACCCUGCCUAUAUCAGUAAGGAAUUUAUUUGGCUACAAAUAGGAGAAAACCAGAACCACAAUGAUUGACACUGAUUUGCAUGACCCUGGGGCUGGCACAGCUGCUCAUCAGGCAUCCAGGCUGCUUCUUUCAUUUUACUGUACCAUCCUCAGCGCAGGCCUUUAGUCCUCAUGGUCACAAGAUGGCUGCUGUACUUCCUGGUCUCACAUCCAUGUUCCAGGCAGGAGGAGGGAGGAAGGACAAAAGGCAUGGCACUCCCCCAACUCCUUUUUUAAAAAUCAGGAAAACAAGCUUUGCCAGAAGCGUCACUAGGCUGAACUUGACUAUUUCUCACAGUCCAUGUGGUGUCACACGCGCACCUCUAGCUAAAAGAUGCCUGUGGAAAAGAGGGUUGUGUGAGUGAAGAUGAGAAGCCAACAGCGUCUGCUCUGCUGAAGAAAUAGAACAAUGGAGUUCUCAUGAGUGCAUUGCGUGUGUGAUGGCAUUUGUAGUGCAAUCAGAGGGAGGAGGGGAUGUCAUUCCUAUUCUUGACAGGAAAUCACUACACAGAUUUGCCUCACCUGAAAAUGUGACAGAAGCCAGUCAGCAACGUCGUGACAGAGCCUGGACUUCUUCGUGCUUGUCUCCACAUAUCCAGCCACCUUGAGGAAGAGGAUGAUCCCACAGGCGCUGGCCAUGUUACUAGCCACUUUCUAACUUCCAAAUAAGACGGGAAAGAACAUUCCAGACCAGGGGAGCCCACCCCCAACUCUUGGAGGAGAGCUUCAAUUUUUCCCAGAGACUCUGAAAUGACUCCAUCAAGGAGUUGAGUAGCUCACAAGGGACCAAAGCUGCUACGCCAGAAGAUGGAGACAGUCUCAACCAGAUGCUCAUGCCCUGAGGGCAGGACGCAAGCCCUGGGCUGAGGCCCAGUGAGGAUCUCACAUUAAGGGGAGGGAGGAGGAGGGCUGGGUCAGGGAGGGACCCUUCGAGGGGUUGGCUGUUGGGGGAGCAAGCGCAUUAACAAAGGUAUUGGUCUUUGACAAUCU
ensembl:lncRNA novel transcript